ACCAGCUCCACGGACACUGCGGUAAUGAGCAAAUGAAAUACAGCGGACGCUGGAAAUCUCACACCACAAUGCUGAAAGUAUUCAGCAGGUCAGGCAGUAUCUGCGAUGAAUAUCAGAGUUCACGUUUGAAGAUAACAUUGUUGCAGGAAAGCAGCAUCCAUCAUCAGGUAACCCCGCGACCCAGGUCAUGCUCCCUUUUCACUGCUGCCAUCAGGGAGAAGAUAUCAGGAGCCUCAGGACUCUCACCACCAGGUUCAGGAAAAGUUAUUACCCCUCAACCAUGAACCAGAGGGGAGAACUUCACUCAAUUCCAUCACUGAAGUUUUCUCACAACAUGUGGACUGACUUUCAAGGACUCUUUAUCUCAUGUUCUAAUAUUUAUUGCUUAUUUAUUUAUUUAUUUAUUUAUUAUUAUUUCUUUCUUUUGUAUGUGCACAGUUUGUUGUCUUUUGCACGCUGGUUAUCUGCCCUGAUGAUGCCGUCGUUCAUUGAUUCUAUUAUACUUACUGGAUUUAUUUUGAACAUGCCUGCAGGAAAAUGAAUCUCAGAGUUGUAUAUGGUGACAUAUAUGUAUAUGAUAAUAAAUUUACUUUGAAUUUGCACAAAUAUUUCAAGCAAAGGCAGGAAGCAUGCAACUUAAACACUCUAAAUUAUUAAAGUAAUAAGGGAUGAUUUCA